GGAGCUCAAAUACCUCAAAGAAGAUUAACCACUAUGAUAGGAACAUAAACCCCUCUAAUUAAUACCUUAAUUAGAUCACUGUUUCUUCACACACCCACCAGCCUAAGGAACAACGUACCAAACUUAUUUGUUUUCCAAGUUUUUUGAGUUUUAAGGAAAGUAGGAAGUUUAAGGAAGAUGUAGUGGAUGGAAAUUUGGAGUUAAUAACAGUGGAAAUUGACUUCAACAUCAAAGUGUUGGAAUGAAGGUUGUCAAGGUUUGUGUUUAGCGAUUGCCUCAUUGAUCCAUUCUCAUAACAAGCUCAGUCGUUGACCAAGAAAAAAUUAAGGAUUAACCAUUUUGUUGAGACCACUUCCCUCCGGUUUAGACUUAGUGUUUUUAAUAACAGAAAAAAAAAAUUAUUGUUUGUGUAAAUCUUUGAAAAGUUAAGUAAUAUAAAGUGAACUGUAAAAUCAUUAUUUUGAAAUAAGUUAUACCUUCA